rnacentral:misc_RNA from 1 species
AUCAUAGGGUACCCAUCUAAGCCAUGAAAGAGGAAGAGUGCCUCCUUCACACUCUGACAACACCCCAAGGAAGAUCAUGAACAACAGAUGAAGCGUCAUAGGAGACCCAUCUAAGCCAUAGCUGAGGACUCCUCAAAAACUUGGCAACUCCAGAAAGUUUCGCAUUCUAAAAGGACCCUAAAUUAACGAUUUAACCAGAGCCAAGGGAGAAGGGUAGCUCGACCAAAGCACCGCAGAUUGCUUAAGGAGGGUGAUAAGGCAGAGCUUGGUUGACAAAAGCCCUUGGAAUCGACCAUAGAAGGCAAAGCCGGCAAAAAACCCCCCAAGGUACCUGCAUACCCCAAGACAACUCUUUGCAGAACCAUAAAGCUAGAGGCUAUAAAAGAGCACCCAAAGCUGCACGCAUAACCCAAGGCCGAACUAAACAGCAUCAUCCAUGGUAGAACCGAUGGAAGCUCUCCCUAUUCAACACCAUCUACAACAAAAAUCAUCAAAUCCUCAUUUCUUCACAAUCUCCAUCCGAAGAUGAGAGAGCGAAACCCACUACCGAGUAGAAGAGAGGGGGGUCUUCCCUGCCCACAUAGGACAAGGGAGACCGCAGAAUCCGGCAAAGAAAGAAGCUGAGUACCUCAGAAAUCAACCUUACAAAGAGGAAAUUCUGUCUCUAAAAUCGUUAGAAAAGAGUGGAGAUAAUAUUGUUCUUUCCCAAUCAAAUGAUACUUGAUGAUUUCCCUUGGAACGUAUUGAUGUUGAUAGAACUCACUCCAAAUUUGUGAUCAUAGCCAAUAUUUGGAUGUACGAUAGUUACCAGAUUAAAAUCGGGCACUGGAACCAAGACAAAUUGGGCAUUGUAGCCUCCACCCCCAAUAUUAUUAGAUUCAGAAAUCGUUCAGUCAUGGAAUACGGUCGUCACACGGUCGGCCAAGCUUUCAAUCAGCAAAUACAUGCAACGCACCAAAAGUCUAAAGUGUCAGAUUAGUGAAAUGCACAAAACCUCGUAUGAUUUGAUUCCGCUGUCUGAACCUUUAAGCUGCUAAU